GAGACAGCCACAUCCUCUCACCAGAAUGAGAGAUCUGUAUUUAUGAGAACUAGGAUUUCAUCAGCCUCUUCAUCAGCCAGGAGACAACGCUGCAUGCAUCCGCCGCUGACUUUGUACAGAGCUGUGGCUUUCCUGUUGGGUGCACAUCAGAAUCACCUGGGCAACACCCUCCAACUGCAGGGGACACCAAGUUUCUGAGUUCUGUAACCACAGGAGCAGAGGUUUCCAGCUUACUUGUACAUCUCUGAAUGUUCCUUCUGAAAUGUCAGCGAUUCUCCACCCCGAACUCCACUGUGGUGUGUCUGCUCCCUCCGACUCGCAUUGCUUUCUACCUCUUCAUAAACUGAGAAACCAUUUCCCGCACACCUGGCACUGCUAUACACCAUCCUGAAGAAAGAGUGGCAGGCAAGCUCGCCAGUUACCCUGUCAUCCCGGAACAUGUGGUCCACAGGAC